rnacentral:lncRNA from 1 species
GUAGGUACCAAUGCGCUAAUAAAAUUUCUAUAAUUUCUUAUAAUUUGCUCACAAUCUUCUUGGUGAAAUGUGUCAAAAUAAAAGUUAUAUUAAACCGUACACAAUAUUUUUGAUGUGUUCUAAUACUAAAAAUAUUCAUUAGUAUUCGAGGUAUAACCCGAGGUGGUUAGCGGUUGUCGUGGGAGGUGGUUGGCGGUGGUUGGAGGUGGUUAGGGGCGGUUGCGGGUGAUCGAAGUGGACGAGGAGGAGGACGAGGAUGAUGAGGAGAACAAGGUGGACGAGGAGAACGAGGAUUUGUGCACGUAUUCGAGGUAAAGCCCGAGGGGGUAGGCGGCGAUAGAAGGUGGUCGGAGGAGAAGGAGAAGGCGAAUUGGAUGACGAAGAAGACGAAGAGGACUAAGACGAAGAGGAGUACUGGGAUGAGAAGAUGGAGGAGUAGGACGAGGUGGACGAGGAGAACAGAGGUGGUCGGAAGUAGUAUUCGGAAUGCCCGCGAAGUUUUGCUGGACACAGCCAUCCCGAUCCAGGCGUCAGGCGGGAGAAACGGUUGAACGUUUUGAAGACUCUGCGGAAAGACACCAACCCGUACGGCCCGACAAUCAUAAUACUCCGCAGAAGUCGAAAACCAAGUCAAUUUUGAGAUUUUCCGAAGUUCCAAAUACACAGUACCAGUUCACUGAAUUUUCGAUGUCGUUACGAUCCCUGCUGUUCUCAUCUCCCAUCUCAACGUGAAUAAACGACGCAACCUGAAGGUGAACACAAGAUUUCUAAGCAUCCAUCAAACGAGAGUGGAGAAGAGUAUAAUACCUGGAUUGGCAAGUGAUUCAUCUAGUGCAACGGUAUUUGACGACAAAGACAAGGGACCAGUUAAUUUUAACGUCUUGUGUAUUGAAGGCGUAUUUUUAAAUUGUGUGAAUAUUUGGAUGCGUGAAUGAACAACUUUUGAUCUUUUUUUUUAUGUGUACACUUCUGUUUUUACCAUUUAUCAAUCUGUUUAUUCGAACUAUUUUAUCUAUACUAUUGUAUCUUUACAAUU